rnacentral:rRNA from 1 species
UGGCGGACGGGUGAGAAACGCGUGGGUAAUCUACCCUUGGAUUUGGGAUAACUCUGCGAAAGUGGAGCUAAUACCGGAUAGUCUGGCUUUAAAUAAGAAGUCGGUAAAGGAUGCCUCUGCAUAUGCAUUCGUCCGAGGAUGAGCCCGCGUCUCAUUAGCUAGUUGGUAGGGUAAUGGCCUACCAAGGCAACGAUGAGUAGCUGGUCUGAGAGGAUGAUCAGCCACACUGGAACUGAAACACGGUCCAGACUCCUACGGGAGGCAGCAGUGGGGAAUAUUGCGCAAUGGGCGAAAGCCUGACGCAGCAACGCCGUGUGAGGGAUGAAGGCUUUCGGGUCGUAAACCUCUGUCGGAAGGGAAGAACGGGUGGUGGUCUAAUAGGCCUCCAUUUUGACGGUACCUUUAGAGGAAGCACCGGCUAACUCCGUGCCAGCAGCCGCGGUAAUA